UACGUGGAGGGGCAAGCGUUGUCCGGAUUUAUUGGGCGUAAAGAGCGUGUAGGCGGCUAGAUAGGUCCGUUGUGAAAACUCGAGGCUCAACCUCGAGACGUCGAUGGAAACCAUUUGGCUAGAGUCCGGAAGAGGAGAGUGGAAUUCCUGGUGUAGCGGUGAAAUGCGCAGAUAUCAGGAAGAACACCGAUGGCGAAGGCAGUUCUCUGGGACGGUACUGACGCUGAGACGCGAAAGCGUGGGGAGCGAACAGG
rnacentral:rRNA from 1 species